AGCAUGGUGACCUGUAGAAUUAGCAGACAGGU
rnacentral:piRNA from 1 species